UGGUAUUUUGACUAUACAAAGGUAUUGUAAUAAGGUUUUAAUUGAAUGCUAAGAGAAUGGAAAUUUAAAAAAAAACUUUUUUAAAAAUAAAAAUUAAAUUUUUUUUAAUUUGUGCAAAAACAAUUAUUGUUAUUAAAGACAAGAAGACCCUAAGAAUUUAAGAUUAAAAAUUAAAAAAUUUUUUAAUUUUUAAUCUUGAUUGGGGCGAUCAAAAAAUAUUAAUAACUUUUAAAAAUUUAAAUUGAUCUAUUAUUAAUAAAUAAAUGAAUUAAAUACUCUAGGGAUAACAGCGUAAUAAUUUUUGAUAGAUCUUAUUGACAAAAUAGUUUGCGACCUCGAUGUUGGAUUAGGAUUCUUUUUUAAKAAGAA
rnacentral:rRNA from 1 species